AGAGUUUGAUCCUGGCUCAGGAUGAACGCUGGCGGCGCGCCUAACACAUGCAAGUCGAGCGGCACCCUGCUUCGGCAGGAAGCGAGCGGCGAACGGCUGAGUAACACGUGACCAACCUGCCCUGCGCACGGGGACAGCCGCGGGAAACCGCGGGUGAUACCCGGUGGCCCCGGGGGGACGCAUGUCCCCGCGGGCAUAGCUCCGGCGGCGCGGGAUGGGGUCGCGGCCCAUCAGGUAGUUGGUAGGGUGACGGCCUACCAAGCCGACUACGGGUAGCCGGGUUGAGAGACCGACCGGCCAGAUUGGGACUGAGACACGGCCCAGACUCCUACGGGAGGCAGCAGUGGGGAAUCUUGCGCAAUGGGGGGAACCCUGACGCAGCGACGCCGCGUGCGGGAUGGAGGCCUUCGGGUCGUGAACCGCUUUCAGCAGGGACGAGACUGACGGUACCUGCAGAAGAAGCCCCGGCUAACUACGUGCCAGCAGCCGCGGU
rnacentral:rRNA from 1 species